rnacentral:lncRNA from 1 species
UCUAUAUUGAUAAAAAAAAUAAAAUAAAAUAAAAUAAAAUAAAAUAAAAAGGUUAGAUGGCAAAGGUGAAAAAAGUAUUUUUCUUGGUGUUAGUGAUUAUUCAAAGGGUUAUAAAUUGUAUAAUCCUACCACAAAGAAAUUUAUCAUUAGUCGUGACAUAGUUUUUGAUGAAGAAAAAACAUGGUUUUGGAUUAGCAACAAUGAUGAGCAACAUGUUCCAGCAGAUUUUGAGAGUGAAAAUGGGGAGGAAACUAUGCAACAAGCUCCAGCAAUCCCUGCUCCCAAAAAUUCUCAAGAUGAACCUUCCAUAACUUCUGAAAUUUCAUCAGUAGCCGCAAGAAAUGAUGAAUAGGUUGAUGCUACAGCAGAUUCACGUCCUCAACGUAUUAGAUAAAGGCCAACAUGGAUGUCAAAUUAUGAGAUAACAAGAAUUGCUGAUUUUGAGGACCCACUUACACUGCUCUAUUUUUAAAUUUUGAUCCCACAACUUUUGAGGUUGUUAUCAAAGAACGGAAGUGGAAGAAGGCUAUGGAUGAACAGAUUUAAGCCAUUGAAAGGAAUAAUACUUGGGAGCUAACUGAGCUUCUAAAAGGGCAGAAGAUAAUUGGUGUCAAGUGGGUUUACAAGACGAAAUUAAAAGAGUGGUACAAUUGAUAAAUAUAAGGCAUGCCUAGUAGCUAAAGGUUAAAAGCAAGAUUUUGGCGUGGAUUACAAAGAAGUGUUCGCUGAAGUUGCAAGACAUGACACAAUUAGAUUGAUGAUUGCGUUGGCAGCUCAACAUUCAUGGCCCAUGUUCCAAUUGGAUGUGAAAUCGGCAUUUUUAUAUGGAGACUUGCAAGAAGAGGUAUUUGUUGAUCAACCUCCUGGUUAUGUGAAAUUAGGUAGUGAGCAUAAGGUUUAUAAACUUAAGAAAGCACUACAUUGACUAAAACAUGAACCUAGAGCUUGGUAUAAUCGUAUAGAUGCUUAUUCUUUAAGGGAAAAAAAUGUCCAUAUGAGCAUAAUCUUUACACAAAAAUUGAAGGGGAAUGAAAAGUGCUAAUGAUAUGAUUGUAUGUAGAUGAUUUAAUUUAUAUGGGAAAUGACAAGGGUAUAUUUGAAAAGUUUAAGCAAUCAACAAAGCUAGAGUUUGAUAUGUUUGACCUUGGGCUAAUGCAUUAUUUCUUGGCAUAGAAGUAGUGCAAUCUCCUGCUAGAAUUCUUAUUUCUCAAAAAGGAAAAAAUAUGUUCAAGAAAUUUUAGAGAAUUUUCAAAUGAAAAACUGCAUUCAUAUCGUUACUCCAGUAGAACAAGGAUUGAAGCUUGUAAAGGAUUCGGCAGGAAGAUAAGUUAAUAAGACUCUUUACAACAAAAUAGCUGGAAGUUUGAUGUAGUUGAUAGAAACAAAACCUCGUAUAAUACAAGCAGUAUGGAGAGUCCAAAAGAGAUUCAUCUUCUAGCUGCAAAAAGGAUCCUUUGGUGCUUGCGUGGUACUAUUGAUCUUGGGCUAUUCUAAAAAAGUGGUGAAAGAUCAGAAUUGUUCGGAUUCAUAGAUAGUGAUUAUGCUGGAGAGUUGGAAGAUAGAAGGAGGACAUAUGGAUAUCUUUAUGUUUGGGUCUGCAACUGUUUCGUGGUCAUCAAAGAAACGAACAUUAGUUACUCUAUCAACACCUGAGGUAGAAUUUGUUGCAGCAAUUCUUGUGCUUGUCAAGCACUUUGGUUUUGGUUCUGCAACUGUUUUGUGGUCAUCAAAGAAACGAACAUUAGUUACUCUAUCAACAACUGAGGUAGAAUUUGUUGCAGCAAUUCUUGUGCUUGUCAAGCACUUUGGUUAAGGAAAUGCUUGAGAAACUUCAGUUCAAGCAACUAGGUUCUACUUAUAUUUUUUGUGAUAAUAGUUUAACAAUCAACUCUCAAAGAAUCUUGCUUUUCAUGGAAGAUGCAAGCACGUAGAUGAAGAUACCACUUAUUGCGUGGUCUUACCAAGGAUGGAAUUAUUGAUCUUCUUUACUGCAAAAGUGAAGAUCAAAUAGUUGAUAUCUUUACUAAAUCCCUCAAAUUUGCUAGCUUUCUGAAGCUGAGGAAAUUACUUGGAGUUUGUACUCUGGAGAAUUGAAUUUGAGAUUUGGUUCUACAUAAUUGUUACACUGAACGUUUGCAAACAUUUAAUUUAAAUGAGGGAUUGUUGAUUAUUUUAUUGGAUUUAUAUUUUUAAUUACUUGGAAUCUGUUAUAGUUUGUUAUUCACAUGUGUGUCUUUUACCUAGUCUUUAGGAUUUUGUUGCUGCAAAUUGGUUAGUGGUCCCAUGUCAAGCUAUUAGUUUGCUAUGUAUAUUGUUUGUAUAGCCUAUAUGUAGGCCGAUUUGUUGAUGAAUAAAGAUACAGCAAUCAAGAUUUUCAUUCCAGAUUUUUCCUUUAAGCUUUAUAUAUAUGCUUCUGAUUUUAUCAGGGAAUCUCUCUGAAUUUGUUGAACUACGCAUGUAAAUGUUAGGGAUUGAAUAUGCCUUGAUCGAAUUUGAAUAUAUGAUUUAUGAUUUGUGAAUGUCUAUGGAUUUGUUGAACUAGCCAACUAGUAUGUAAAUGUUAGGGAUUGAAUGGAGCAAUUGUUUAAAUUUUGUUUGGGAACUGGGAAUUUCAUCAAAAAUUGAAAUAAAGACAGCAUUAUUACGCA